AUUGAACGCUGGCGGCAUGCCUUACACAUGCAAGUCGAACGGCAGCGGGCCUUCGGGUGCCGGCGAGUGGCGAACGGGUGAGUAAUGCAUCGGAACGUGCCAUUGAGUGGGGGAUAACGUAGCGAAAGUUGCGCUAAUACCGCAUAUUCUGUGAGCAGGAAAGCAGGGGGACCGCAAGGCCUUGCGCUCUUUGAGCGGCCGAUGUCAGAUUAGCUAGUUGGUGAGGUAAAGGCUUACCAAGGCGACGAUCUGUAGCGGGUCUGAGAGGAUGAUCCGCCACACUGGAACUGAGACACGGUCCAGACUCCUACGGGAGGCAGCAGUGGGGAAUUUUGGACAAUGGGGGCAACCCUGAUCCAGCCAUGCCGCGUGAGUGAAGAAGGCCUGGGUUGUUAAAGACGUCUUUCGGUCCGGGAACGGAAAUACGCAUGGUGAGUACCUGUGUGGAUGACGGUACCGGAAGUAAGAA
rnacentral:rRNA from 1 species